rnacentral:tRNA from 1 species
GUAAUUGUAGCUCAAUAGGUAGAGUGACUAUUUGUGGCAUAGUUGGUUCCCGGUUCGAUUCCGGGCAUUUACCC